ensembl:lncRNA
UUCCAGAGCAGCUGAUCUGAGUUCAGUCAACUGAGGAUGUUCACUCUGAGCUAAGUGACACUUAGGUUUCCGACGACUAUAAAAAGCCAUCAUCAAUGGAGCUCCAAUACUACGAGUCAUCAUGGCAACUGGCGAGAAAACAAGGUCCUCCUACUUCCCCCCACUGGAUUUAAAAGUUCUGAUACACACUGAUGGUGAGUAAGAGCACAGUUUCGAUGGUGACUAUGAGCACAGUUUCUGAUACAUACUUAUGGCUAGUUUGAGCACAGUUAUAUUUAUGGCUAGUUUGAGCACAGUUUCUGAUACAUACUGAUGGUGAGUUUGAGCACAGCACAGUUUCUGAUACAUACAGAUGGUGAGUUUGAGCACAGUUAUACUGAUGGUGAGUUUGAGCACAGUUAUACUGAUGGUGAGUUUGAGCACAGUUAUACUGAUGGUGAGUUUGAGCACAGUUAUACUGAUGGUGAGUUUGAGCACAGUUAUACUGAUGGUGAGUUUGAGCACAGUUUCUGAUACAUACUGAUGGUGGGUUUGAGCACAGCACAGUUUCUGAUACAUACUGAUGGUGAGUUUGAGCACAGUUAUACUGAUGGUGAGUUUGAGCACAGUUUCUGAUACAUACUGAUGGUGAGUUUGAGCACAGUUUCUGAUACAUACUGAUGGUGAGUUUGAGCACAGUUUCUGAUAGAUGGUGAGUUUGAGCACAGUUUCUGAUAGAUGGUGAGUUUGAGCACAGUUUCUGAUAGAUGGUGAGUUUGAGCACAGUUAUACUGAUGGUGAGUUUGAGCACAGCUUCUGAUACAUACUGAUGGUGAGUUUGAGCACAGUUUCUGAUAGAUGGUGAGUUUGAGCACAGUUUCUGAUAGAUGGUGAGUUUGAGCACAGUUUCUGAUAGAUGGUGAGUUUGAGCACAGUUAUACUGAUGGUGAGUUUGAGCACAGUUUCUGAUACAUACUGAUGGUGAGUUUGAGCACAGUUUCUGAUAGAUGGUGAAUUUGAGCACAGUUUCUGAUACAUACUUAUGGCCAGUUUGAGCACAGUUUCUGAUCUAAAGCAACACAGCUGCAGACCUCCGUGAAGCUGGUCCCCAAGUCAGCGAAGUUAUUAAAGUUUAAAUGACUUAAAACCUUAACAGCUCAAAUGAUGCCUUCUGGUUCGGUGGAUUUAGGUAGGCACCCCACUGAUGGUGUGCCACUUCUGGUCUGCUCUCUGACCACCAGUGUGGAUAUUAUAUAAUAUAUAAUUAUGUAUAAUAAUACAAUAACCACUGGGUGUGGAUAUUAAGAAAAUAUUGCAAAAUGUUUGCAAUUCUUGUAACUUCUUAAUCAUAUCCUUGGCAGUCUAUUUAAAACAUCCACUGCUAAACAGAAGAUGUCCACGGGGCUAGAAGGCUCUCAGGGGUGAAAUAUGACCUGGUCAAUUAAAGACUUAUGUGACGUACUGGUAACAUCUAUAAACAUGUUACGCGCUGGUGAAAGUUAAUGAAGAAGUAUAAUAAAAGAAUAAAGAAAACAUGUUUUUUUUAGCUCUGCUCUGCCCCCAGUGGGCUGACAGCUAAUGUAUAUAGCCAUUCCGCCUUGUACAUACUUUCUUAAACUCCUUAGUCCAUUGCACUGUUGCACUGUUUGUUUGUUUGUAUUGUAUUGUGUUGUAUAUUUUGUGUAAGCACACUGAGAGUCACUUUACCAAGUCAAAUUCCUUGUUUGUGCAAACUUACUUGGCCAAUAAAACCUGAUUCUGAUUCUGAUUCUGACAGUGGCCCACUCCACUGGCCUUUGGCUAUCUGGGGAGCGAGCUUUGCCUAUGCGCACAUCCGUCACUAAACUGCAGCCCGCAGGAAAAACCGGCGUCAAGCCAUCUGACACUAUAGGCUAUAUAAUAUGCCAACGCCGUAAAUAAGGGCAUUCGCGAGAAUAACUUUAAAUGGAGUUAACUGAGGUUAAUGGACUUCUUAAACAUAUAUAAAAAAGUGUCGGUUAGCUUCACGUCGGUGCAGUAAACCAAAUCAAUACUCCUAAUGUGUCAUUAACACAUCUCCCAGCGAAGCGGGAAGAUAAUGUACACGAACAAGUAAAGACAGAUCACAACUCUGGAAUGAAGGACGGGAGAUGUGAUUUCCCCCAAGAUUAGUCUUUACAUGUAUAUGGGGCAACACAUGCCACGCAUGCGCUACAGGUAUGCAAUGUUGCCCUUAGCUAAGCGAUGGCCUACUACGCUAAACUAUUGCCAGAUAAAAUAGGACAAUCAAGUAAAUCCACAUUUAAUUACUUCGGCGAAGGUUAGCGGCACCUUAUUGCACUAUUUGAAGGACAGUUCCUUAACCCUUCGACAGUAAACAGUUGCUCGAAGACCACGCGAGAACAAUGGCCAACCGAAACUGUAAACAAAUGGAGUAGGCUACGACCAUUACAGAGAGAACCAAAUAAUUAGCGAACUUACCUAACAGGCGCUUCAGUUCAGUGAUACUUUCGCGAUUGGGCGAUUGUAACAGAAAAAGAGGCAAAAGUCCCAAUUUAAAUUGAAAUUAGCGCUCAGAUACAACAACGUUACUCGGCAGGAAAACUUCCUGAAACUGCAGGUAGGUAUGGGCGUGUUCCUGAAACUGCAGGUGCGUUCGUGCCUAGUCUGUCGCGGUUGAUCACGUGACUGAGGUG